rnacentral:rRNA from 1 species
GAGUUUGAUCCUGGCUCAGGAUUAACGCUGGCGGCGUGCAUGAGACAUGCAAGUCGAACGGACGAUCAGGGCUUGCUCUUGAUCGUUUAGUGGCGGAACGGCUGAGUAACGCGUAGGUGACCUGCCCCGAAGUGGGGGAUAACUGCCCGAAAGGGUGGCUAAUACCGCAUGUGGAGGUUCGUUCAUUCGAACCUUCAAAGCAGCAAUGCGCUUCGGGAGGGGCCUGCGUCCGAUUAGCUCGUUGGUGGGGUAACGGCUCACCAAGGCGACGAUCGGUAGGUGGUCUGAGAGGACGAUCACCCAGACUGGGACUGAGACACGGCCCAGACUCCUACGGGAGGCAGCAGCCGGGAAUUUUGCGCAAUGGGCG